CUAAUAGAACAAGUAUAGAACCAAAAGGUGUCAUUCUUGAACUUAAUAUUUUGGGUGUCUUCUUUUUUCGUCAUAAUGGAUAUCAGUUGGUAUGCAUACAACUAAAUUGAGGAAUUUGGAGAAACGACUAAAACAAGAGAAAGCAUCUCCGCUAUUGGACAAAUUGGUCUUCGAUAAGAUAGCAAGAAAGGUGGUGGUUAUGUUGCCGCACCCUGCCCCUCUAAACAGACAGUGAAAACUCUCGCCAACAGGCCAAACUAAAUCAACUGGAUCACAUGCUUGCAGGAGCUGCAACAGGACAUUUAAUUUUUAGCAUACUUUGGAGUCCCACUCAAAGGCUGAGCACAAUAGUGGAAAGUAAUAUUGAUUUUUGCAAAUCGUUUUGGAUUUUGCACUGUAAGUUUUGAUGGUUGGGUGUAGUUUAAGGCAAGUAGUACACUAUAGUAGGUUAUGUUCCAUGUAGAGUCGAGUAGGCCAAACUUCAACAAACUGAAUAUCUAAGCCAUCGGGAUGUAAAGGUGUUGAUCUUUGUUAUUUUAGCCUUUUGGUACUCUUCUAUCUUACUAUCAACAUUUCUUCGGUUGGAUAUAUGUUGUACCUGCUCGAUUGGCCGUAGAAUGUUUAUAUACUAUUCUCAUCUA